rnacentral:rRNA from 1 species
UACGAAGGGGGCUAGCGUUGCUCGGAAUUACUGAGCGUAAAGGGCGCGUAGGCGGACAGCUUAGUCAGAGGUGAAAGCCCAGGGCUCAACCUUGGAAUUGCCUUUGAUACUGGCUAUCUUGAGUUCGGGAGAGGUGAGUGGAAUGCCGAGUGUAGAGGUGAAAUUCGUAGAUAUUCGGCGGAACACCAGUGGCGAAGGCGACUCACUGGCCCGAUACUGACGCUGAGGCGCGAAAGCGUGGGGAGCAAACAGG